rnacentral:tRNA from 1 species
GGCGGAUGUARCCAAGUGGCUCAAGGCAGU